rnacentral:rRNA from 1 species
UACGGAGGAUCCAAGCGUUGUCCGGAUUUAUUGGGUUUAAAGGGUGCGUAGGCGGCCCUGUAAGUCAGUGCUGAAAUAUCCCAGCUCAACUGUGGAACUGCCAUUGAUACUGGUUGGCAUGAGUACAGAUGAGGUAGGCGGAAUUGACAGUGUAGCGGUGAAAUGCUUAGAUAUUGUCAAGAACACCUAUUGCGAAGGCAGCUUACUAAGCUGUAACUGACGCUGAGGCACGAAAGCGUGGGGAUCAAACAGG